rnacentral:rRNA from 1 species
GCCUGAUGGAGGGGGAUAACUACUGGAAACGGUAGCUAAUACCGCAUAACGUCGCAAGACCAAAGAGGGGGACCUUCGGGCCUCUUGCCAUCAGAUGUGCCCAGAUGGGAUUAGCUAGUAGGUGGGGUAAUGGCUCACCUAGGCGACGAUCCCUAGCUGGUCUGAGAGGAUGACCAGCCACACUGGAACUGAGACACGGUCCAGACUCCUACGGGAGGCAGCAGUGGGGAAUAUUGCACAAUGGGCGCAAGCCUGAUGCAGCCAUGCCGCGUGUGUGAAGAAGGCCUUCGGGUUGUAAAGCACUCUCAGCGAGGAGGAAGGUGGUGAGCUUAAUACGCUCAUCAAUUGACGUUACUCGCAGAAGAAGCACCGGCUAACUCCGUGCCAGCAGCCGCGGUAAUACGGAGGGUGCAA